GAUGAACGCUAGCGAUAGGCUUAACACAUGCAAGUCGAGGGGCAGCAUGGUCUUAGCUUGCUAAGGCUGAUGGCGACCGGCGCACGGGUGCGUAACGCGUAUGCAACUUGCCUCACAGAGGGGGAUAACCCGUCGAAAGACGGACUAAUACCGCGUACACUCUAUGUUGGGCAUCCAAUGUAGAGGAAAUGAAAUUCGCUGUGAGAUAGGCAUGCGUCCCAUUAGCUAGUUGGUGAGGUAACGGCUCACCAAGGCGACGAUGGGUAGGGGAACUGAGAGGUUGAACCCCCACACUGGUACUGAGACACGGACCAGACUCCUACGGGAGGCAGCAGUGAGGAAUAGUGGUCAAUGGGCGAGAGCCUGAACCAGCCAAGUCGCGUGAAGGAUGACUGUCUUAUGGAUUGUAAACUUCUUUUAUACGGGAAUAACAAGAGUCACGCGUGGCUCCCUGCAUGUACCGUAUGAAUAAGCAUCGGCUAACUCCGUG
rnacentral:rRNA from 1 species